rnacentral:lncRNA from 1 species
UAGUAUUUAAAAGUCUAUAUUAAAAAGUAGCAUUUAAGAACAACUGUUGUACCAAGUGGGGGCCUGAUCUUUAAUCCAUAGUAUUGCAAUUCUGCAAUAGUCUUAGUUUUUCUCUGUUUGACACAUGAUAGAGCUGUUAAAUUUGUUCUUUGGUAUGCACCUGCUGAAUUGAAUGAGGUCUUUUAUUAUUUUUAAUCUCCUCUCCCUUGCAGGUAGCCAUAUAUUUGCUAAUAAUGAUAAUUUCAGAAUUGCACUUUUGUUCCAGAAGAAAUUAGUCCUCAUGUCAAGCUCAUUACAGAUUCCAUACCACUGAAGAAAGAGUAAAAUAUAUUACAUAAAAUUAACAUUUUUACCAUGAUUAAGUGGCAGCAAUCUUGUUCAAAAUGUUAUACAGUCAUUAGCACUAAACUCCUCAGCCCUUGAAGUAUUUAUCCUUCUAACCAGCUUCUAAUCUAUCAUGUAUCUUAAAAUUUUACCUAUCCUUGAUAUGAUAAUGCAUAUAAAUGGGCCAAGUAUUUGUUUUGUAGCUAUUAACUAGACCAAAUGUUUCCAAAGUUUUUCUAACUGAACCUUAUUCUUUUUAUUACUGGAAUGUAUUACAUUUUGUAUAUGUAUGUACACACACACACACACACACACACACGGAGAGGG